rnacentral:rRNA from 1 species
GUGCAGCAGGCGAGAAUUUUUCUCAAUGGGGGAAACCCUGAAGGAGCGACGCCGCGUGGAGGAUGAAGGUCUUCGGGUUGUAAACUCCUGUCAUUUGAGAACAAGGUGCACAUGUUAACUGCAUGUGCAUCGAUAGUAUCAGAAGAGGAAGGGACGGCUAACUCUGUGCCAGCAGCCGCGGUAAUACAGAGGUCCCAAGCGUUGUUCGGAUUCAUUGGGCGUAAAGGGUGUGUAGGUGGCGCCGUAAGUCGGGUGUGAAAUCUCGGGGCUUAACUCCGAAACUGCAUUCGAUACUGCGGUGCUUGAGGACG